CCCUUAGAUGUUCUGGGCGGCCCGCGCACUACAAUGGCGCUUUCAGCGAGUUCCUAUGUUGAAUUUUCCUUGGUAUUCUUGGAAGCGGCGUCUUGACUUGGGAUAGAUCCUUGUAAUUGUUGGUUUUGAACGAGGAAUUCCUAGUAAACGCAAGUCAUCAGCUUGCAUUGAUUACGUCCCUGCCCUUUGUACACACCGCCCGUCGCACCAAUCGAUUGAGGUAUCUGGUGAAAAUGCAGGAAACCUCUGUGGCAUGCUUCAUUGCAAGCCGUAGAAGAUGAAUGCAUUUAAACCAGGCGCCUUAGAGAAUGGUGAAGUCGUAACA
rnacentral:rRNA from 1 species